AUUUGUUUAAAUUCAUGAAACUUCGCUCUGAGAAGCAAGCGAGCCCUUACCUUCCCAUUGCUUCCUCCUCCUCCUCCUCCUCCGUCGCUGUUCACUUUCCCGUCGUCUCAUUCUACUCGCCGGCAGCCACCGUCCUUCACCAGCACACCACCACCGCUCUCCGAUCAAUGCGCUCUUCUGAAACCGUUACUCGUCGUCCCUGUCAAACGCCACAUCGCAACCCCGCCUCAGUGUCGUUUCGCUAACUCGCGCAAUCCAAAACGAAGCUGGAGAUGGCGAGAAAAACCAGCAACUGUGCCAUAUGCGAGAAUUCAAAUCAAGCUUCGAUAUGUUCUAUUUGUGUCAACUAUAGGUUGAAUGAGUAUACCACCUCUUUGAAAUCACUGAAAGAGCGUCGAGAUUCGUUGUCCACGAAAUUGAGCGAGGUUCUCGUCCGCAAGGGAAAAGGAGAUGAUCAAACAAAUUGGAGAGUGCUUCAACAUGAAAAGCUCGCAAGGUUGAAGGAGAAGCUCCGUCACAGUAAAGAACAAGUUGCUCAAGGAAGAGCUAAGAUAGGGACUAUGUCUGCGGAUCUGAAACUUAAAUAUGGAGUGCUUGAAUCUGCCCUUUCUACGUUGGAAAAGAAUCGAGUGGAACAACUGGAGAAGUUCUACCCUAAUCUUAUAUGCACACAGAGUUUAGGGCAUGUGGCGAUUACCUCUGAGCGUCUUCAUAAACAGUCUGUGGUCAUAAAGCAGAUAUGCAAGUUAUUUCCACAACGCCGGGUGGUUAUCGAGGGGGAAACAAAGGAUGGUUGUAGCGGUCAAUAUGAUCAAAUUUGCAAUGCACGCUUACCAAGAGCACUUGAUUCCCAUUCUGUUCCAUCAGAAGAACUUUCUGCUUCUUUGGGAUACAUGGUGCAACUUCUAAAUCUUGUUCUUCACAACUUGGCUGCCCCAGCACUUCAUAACUCAGGUUUUGCGGGUUCUUGCUCUAGAAUAUGGCAACGGGAUUCUUAUUGGGAUGCACGUCCUUCCUCUAGGAGUAAUGAAUAUCCCCUUUUUAUACCUCGCCAAAAUUAUUGCUCAACUAGUGGGGAAAACUCUUGGUCGGAUAAAAGCUCAAGCAACUUCGGUGUUGCAUCAAUGGAAUCUGACAGGAGGCCUCGCCUGGAUUCAUCUUCGAGUAGUAGCUUUAAUUAUUCUUUAGCUUCUUCACAUUCGGUUCAGACACACAAAGAUCUGCAGAAAGGAAUUUCACUUUUAAAGAAAAGUGUAGCAUGUGUCACAUCUUACUGUUAUAACUCCCUAUGCUUGGAUGUCCCUUCUGAGGCAUCUACGUUUGAAGCAUUUGCGAAGUUAUUGGCUACACUCUCAUCAUCCAAGGAAGUCCGAUCUGUUUUUUCCUUGAAAAUGGCUCGCUCUAGGACAUGUAAGCAAGUUCAGCAAUUGAACAAAUCUGUAUGGAAUAUGGAUUCUACUAUUUCAUCAACUACUUUGCUGGAAAGUGCACAUUCUGUGCCGCCAAUGAGAAUUGAAAAUUAUAUGCCAAGUUCUGGCACUAGUUUUCUUUAUGCCACUGAUUUAUCCGACGGAAAAAGUGAGUGCCUAUUUGAAGGGUGGGAUAUUGUUGAGCGUCCUCCAUUUCCUCCCCCACCAUCACAAAGUGAGGAUGUUGAGCACUGGACUCGGGCCAUGUUCAUAGAUGCUAAAAGGAAGUGAUUUUCACGUGCAACAAACUUCUGCUCUCUAUUGAAGGAGUGCAGCCGGCAUAGGAUUAUUGAGGAUUAUUAUGUAAAUUGCUAUUUUCUUGGAUCAUUUUAGUUCCUUUUCCUCCCCCUGGGCGCUGUAUAUUAGACAAUCAGAAUUGUGAAUAUGUAAAUAUUUAUAGCAAUCAGAUUCGGCAAUUGUAGCUAUGCAUGAAGAUAUCUCCUAUCCAGUAAAUACUCCCCGUGUGCUAGAAUUUUCAGAUCGAUCAAGGGUCCAGUUCCGGUCUGCUUUUAACAACCAUAGUAUCUGCUUAAGAGCAAGCUGCAACACCGUUGGAAUUCAUGGCUUAAGAGUCAACCGUAACAUAUAUUAUAUUUAUACUUCAGACACAAUGGUGUUGAGAUACUAUUUAACUUUGUUUAAGAUGAUGUAUUAUUUCCUUAUUCAGUAUAAUUAUGCACCACUUUCUUAUUUACACUUAUU